rnacentral:rRNA from 1 species
AACGAACGCUGGCGGCAUGCCUAACACAUGCAAGUCGAACGAGACCUUCGGGUCUAGUGGCGCACGGGUGCGUAACGCGUGGGAACCUGCCCUUAGGUUCGGAAUAACUCCCCGAAAGGGGUGCUAAUACCGGAUAAUGUCUUCGGACCAAAGAUUUAUCGCCUUUGGAUGGGCCCGCGUUGGAUUAGCUAGUUGGUAGGGUAAAAGCCCACCAAGGCGACGAUCCAUAGCUGGUCUGAGAGGAUGAUCAGCCACACUGGGACUGAGACACGGCCCAGACUCCUACGGGAGGCAGCAGUGGGGAAUAUUGGACAAUAGGCGAAAGCCUGAUACAGCAAUGCUGCGUGAGUGAUGAAGGCCUUAGGGUUGUAAAGCUCUUUUAACCGGGAUGAUAAUGACAGUACCGGGAGAAUAAGCUCCGGCUAACUACGUG